rnacentral:lncRNA from 1 species
GAAAAACAAUAAUCAUGGCUAUUAAAUAGCCUUACACCAAAACAGAAAUGUAAACAGCAACCCACGAUUUUACAGGACCUAGAAUCGUGGUUCAUGACUAAGUCUUGAACAAGAAACAGCAAACGUAUCCCUCAAGUAUAGGAGGGUUAUUAGCACGACUGAAACAAAUCCUAAAAACAAGGUUCCUGACCUUAACAGCUAGGAAAAAACCAACAAUUUUAUCAUCCUCCCUUAAACUGAAUACUAUUGACUUUCAGUUUAUUCCAGAAUAUUCGCAGACGCCCAUUAAACCUCGCAGCUUCUGAAAUGCUUCAAGCUUCAAUGGCUUUGUCAUGAUAUCUGCAAUCUGCUCAUGGGUAGAACACUGUAACAGCUCCACUACUUCAUCUUUGAUAAGAUCUCGAAGAAAAUGAAAGCGCACAUCUAUGUGCUUGCUCCGACCGUGCAUGACUGGAUUCUUCGAGAGCUUAAUUGCUGAUACAUUGUCGCAGUAUAUCACCGUAGGACUGGUUUGCACUUGAUUCAAACUUUUCAAAAUUCUUCUUAACCAAACAGCUUGGCAUGCACUUGACGCUGCAGCAAUGAACUCUGCUUCAGUGGUAGACAGAGUAACCACUGGUUGCUUCUUUGAAGACCAUGAUACUGCACUUGAAUUCAUAAAAACAUAACCUGAGGUGCUCUUCCUGUCGUCCUGAUCACCAGCAUAAUCGCUGUCCGUAUAGCCAAUAAACUUGUCAUCUCCUCCCUUCUUGUAGAACACUCCAAACUCAACUGUGCCCUUCACAUACCUUAGUAUUCUUUUUGCUGCCAGCAAAUGGGACUCAGUGGGAUGCUCCAUGUAUCUACUAAUUAAACUCACACUAAACAUUAGAUCAGGACGCGUUGCCGUUAAGUACAUAAGGCUUCCCACCAUUUGCUUGUAAAGAGUGCCAUCGACUUCCACUCCUUCUUUAUCCCGUGUAAGUUUAAAACCAGGAACCACUGGAUUGUGCACUGGGUUACACUGAUACAAAUUAAAUCUCUCUAACACUUCUUGCGCAUACUUCCUUUGACUGAUAAAAAUACCAUCUGUUUUUUGCAUCACUUCAAUACCAAGGAAGUACCUCAAUUUUCCGAGGUCAGUCAUAUCGAAUUCCACCAUCAUGGACUUCUUGAAUUGCUUGAACAUAGACUCAUCAUUUCCAGUAAAAAUAAGGUCAUCAACGUAAAGACAAACAAUCAAAAUUUUACCUCCUUUCGCUGUUUUAGUGAACAAAGUGUGCUCGUAGGGACAUUUGUUGAAUCCUUCCUUGAUGAAAUAUGACUCUAUACGACUAUACCAGGCUCGUGGAGCCUGUUUGAGUCCGUAUAAUGCCUUUUUGAGACGAUACACCUUUGAUUCCUUCCCUUUCUGUUCGUAACCUGGUGGCUGUUCAACAAAGACUUCUUCAUGAAUUUCUCCAUGCAAAAAUGCCGAUUUCACGUCGAGUUGAUAGAUCAUCCAAUCCUUUUGUGCAGCAAGUGAAAUAACUAUUCGAAUUGUUUCUAGGCGAGCUACUGGUGCGAACACUUCGACGUAAUCCACCCCAUAUUGUUGGCUAUAUCCCUUAGCAACUAGCCGAGCCUUGUACUUGUCCACUUCCCCAUUCUCAUUAAGCUUCGCCUUGAAAAUCCACUUCACUCCAAUGGUUUUCCCUCCUGAUGGUAGAUCCGUUAAUUCCCACGUAUUAUUCCUCUCUAUUGCUUCGAUUUCCUGAUUCAUGGCCAGCCUCCACUUUUCACUUCUCACGGCAUCAUCAUAUGUUGUGGGAUCAUUGUCAGUGAACAAGGCUAACUGAGCCAAAUUCACACUUUCUUCAUCUGAAAGUCCUGCACCAGUUUCGUAAUCUUGCAUCCAAGUUGGUGGUCUUCGUGUUCGUCCUUCAUGAGGUGUGUUAUCUUCAUAUGUGGUUUCUCCAUUUUCGAAUGAGUCACUGUCGUUUGACUCACUGUUUCCCAUAUCUUCACCAGCUUCAGGUUCUUCUUCAUUUCCGUCAUCUUCCGUAUCUGUUUCUUCAUCCGAUUCCCACUCAAGAUCAGCCAAAAUGGCUGGCUCAUGACUGUCAUCCCACUUCCAUUGUUGAUCUUCUUCAAAGACCACAUCUCGGCUUAUAAUAAUUUUCUGUGAGAUAGGAUCAAACAGUCUAUAGGCCUUAGAUUCUUCACUUACCCCCAGCAAUAUACACCUAAGACUUUUGGCAUCAAGUUUCACUCUUUUGUGGUCAGGCACGUGCACAUGGGAUAUGCAUCCAAAUAUUCUGAAGUGGUCGACAGAUGGUUUGCGCCCACUCCAUGCUUCUUCAGGUGUUUUAUUCUUCACAGCAAGAGUUGGACUUCGGUUUAGCACAUGCACUGUCCAGUUGACUGCUUCAGGCCAAAAGGUUUUAGGAAUUUGUUUCUCUGAUAGCAUACUUCGUACCAUAUUCAUAAUGGUUCGAUUCUUCCUUUCGGCGACACCGUUUUGCUGAGGAGUAUAGGCAGCCGUCAAUUGCCUUAGGAUUCCAUUCUCAUUGCAGAAACUUGUGAAUUCGUUUGAUGUGAAUUCACCCCCACGAUCUGUUCUCAGGCUCCUUAUGAAUGCUCCGGUUUCCUUCUCAACCUUGGCCUUGUACGUUUUGAAUGUGGCAUAGGCUUCUGACUUUUCAACUAGGAAGUAAACNNNNNNNNNNNNNNNNNNNNNNNNNNNNNNNNNNNNNNNNNNNNNNNNNNNNNNNNNNNNNNNNNNNNNNNNNNNNNNNNNNNNNNNNNNNNNNNNNNNNGUUUUACGACUGAAGUCAUCAAAAAAGGUGAUUAAGUACCUUUUCUUGCUAUUGGAAAUUGGAUUUAUCGGGCCACAUAUGUCAGCAUGUAUUAAUUGAAGGAUCUUGGAGGCUCUCCACAAACUUUCCUUUGGAAAAGGAUCACGGUGCUGUUUGCCCACAAGACAGUUCUCGCACACUUUCUGAGAAGCUUUGAGCUUUGGUAACCCUUCAACCAUGUUCUUCUGUUGGAUCACUUUGAGUCCAUUCCAGCUGAGGUGCCCAUAACGACAAUGCCAAAGAUCUGCUUGAUCUGUGGUCAUCAUGGAGAGACACUUUUGUUCCUUUGGUGGGCAGCGAGCAAGCACAGCAAACAUUCUAUUAUAUGUCAUCUCAGUUUCCAUAAUGAGACCUUUCUCAGGAUGAAAGAUCUUACAUUUGCCAUGUUGUAUAAGCACGGCAAGUCCCCUUUCUUGUAGUUGGCCUAUGCUGAGCAAGUUCUUCUUCAAAUCUGGCACAAAGUAAACUCCUGUAAUCACAUGUACGAUCCCGUUCACCUCCAUUCGAACCUUGCCCUUGCCUUUAACCGUGAGACUAGAAUCAUUUCCCAGUUUCACUGACUCUCUGAAGUUGCUAUCGAGUUCAAUAAAUAUUUCCCUUCGGCCACACAUAUGGUUGCUACACCCAGAGUCAAGAAACCAAAUGUAUUCCGUCCCAGCUUCUUUAAAGUCCACCUGUGCCAUCAAUAACAUCUCUUCUUUUGUUUCUGCGUAGUUCACCUUUGGAUCCCUUGCUCUCUUAGGGCACUCCCAUUGAAAAUGCCCUAAUUCAUGACAGUUAUAGCAUUCCAGGAAAGAUUUGUCGAACCCAAAUCUACCAUUUCCCCUUCCUCUUCCACGAUAAGCACCUCGACCGCCAUGUCUUCCUCCCUGCUGGACUCCUGUCGUGACUUGGAGUGCUUGUUCAUCCACAACAUGCCGGCUGAUUCGCUGUUCGUGCACCAGGAGGCUACUCUGAAGCUCAUCUAUGGACAAAGUGUCCAAGUCAUUCGACUCCUCAAUUGAGCAAACGACAUAAUCAUAUUUUGAAGUCAUAGACCUUAAAAUUUUUUCAAUAAUCACCACAUCCACCAUUCUCUCGCCGUGAGUCCUCAUCUUGUUAGCUAUGAUGAGUGUUCUUCCAAAAUAAUCGUUGACAGAUUCUCCAGUCUUCAUGUGCAACACUUCAAACUCUUUACGAAGAGCUUGCAGUUGGGCACGCUUGACCCGUGCUGUCCCCUGAUAUUUCUGCUUCAAAGAAUCCCAUAUGUCCUUUGCAGUAUCUUUCUUCAAGAUUGUCUCCAGGAUUGAACGAUCAAUGGCCUGGAAUAGGUAGUUCUUAGCCUUCAAGUCUUUCAGCUUCUGAUCUUCCAAUGCCUUCUUCUGCGCAUCACUGAGAUCAAUUCCUUCUGCUGCUGCAGUGAUCCCCGUUUCUACCAGGUUCCAGUAUUCCUUGGAACGUAGGAAAUUCUCCAUUAGCAUGCUCCAGUGAUCAUAGUGUCCAUCAAACCUUGGAAUGGCAGGUUGUACGAAACUGUUCUCAGAUGCCAUGUCUUUUGUUCCUUCACGCUAAGUUUGGUCAGGCCCGGUGAUGUUGCUCUGAUACCAAAUGAUAGAACCAAAAAUGACAAGUUCUGUAAAUGCAAAGUUUGAUAACACUAGAACUCUGGGAGAAUGCAACUUUUAUUGAAAAACAAUAAUCAUGGCUAUUAAAUAGCCUUACACCAAAACAGAAAUGUAAACAGCAACCCACGAUUUUACAGGACCUAGAAUCGUGGUUCAUGACUAAGUCUUGAACAAGAAACAGCAAACGUAUCCCUCAAGUAUAGGAGGGUUAUUAGCACGACUGAAACAAAUCCUAAAAACAAGGUUCCUGACCUUAACAGCUAGGAAAAAAACCAACAAUUUUAUCA